rnacentral:lncRNA from 1 species
AAUGCUGACGUUACCAAAGGUGACCCGCAGUGGUUGUGUGUUUGGGCCAGUGUUCCCAAAGGAUAAGGAAGAAUCAGUUGUUGGAAAGAAAGUGGAAGUGCCUAUUGUAGAUCCAGUUGGUGCUUCAAAGGGUAAGUCUGGUGAAUCCAGCGAUUCGAAGGCUAACGAGGAUGAUGAGGUACUUCGAUUGAUCAAAAGGAGUGAGUUUAAUAUGGUGGAGCAGCUUCUCCAAACCCCCUCAAGGAUCUCAGUGUUGUCUCUUCU